CCUACGGGAGGCAGCAGUGAGGAAUAUUGGUCAAUGGGCUUACGCCUGAACCAGCCAAGUCGCGUGAGGGAAGACUGCCCUAUGGGUUGUAAACCUCUUUUGUCAGGGAGCAAUUGGCGCUACGUGUAGCGUUAUCGAGAGUACCUGAAGAAAAAGCAUCGGCUAACUCCGUGCCAGCAGCCGCGGUAAUACGGAGGAUGCGAGCGUUAUCCGGAUUUAUUGGGGUUAAAGGGUGCGUAGGCGGAAUGCCAAGUCAGCGGUAAAAUCGCGGGGCUCAACCUCGCUCCGCCGGUGAAACUGGCGGUCUUGAGUGGGCGAGAAGUAUGCGGAAUGCGUGGUGUAGCGGUGAAAUGCAUAGAUAUCACGCAGAACUCCGAUUGCGAAGGCAGCAUACCGGCGCCCAACUGACGCUGAAGCACGAAAGCGUGGGUAUCGAACAGGAUUAGAUACCCUAGUAGUC
rnacentral:rRNA from 1 species